rnacentral:rRNA from 1 species
AAGUCAGUGGCGGACGGGUGAGUAACGCGUGAGUAACCUGCCCUUCAGAGGGGGAUAACGUCUGGAAACGGACGCUAAUGCCGCAUGACAUAUUUCCAUCGCAUGGUGGGGAUAUCAAAGGAGCAAUCCGCUGAAGGAUGGACUCGCGUCCGAUUAGAUAGCUGGUGAGGUAACGGCUCACCAAGUCGACGAUCGGUAGCCGGACUGAGAGGUUGAACGGCCACAUUGGGACUGAGACACGGCCCAGACUCCUACGGGAGGCAGCAGUGGGGGAUAUUGCACAAUGGGCGAAAGCCUGAUGCAGCAACGCCGCGUGAGGGAAGACGGUUUUCGGAUUGUAAACCUCUGUUCUAAGUGACGAAGAAAUGACGGUAGCUUAGGAGAAAGCCCCGGCUAACUACGUGCCAGCAGCCGCGGUAAUACGUAGGGGGCAAGCGUUGUCCGGAAUUACUGGGUGUAAAGGGAGCGCAGGCGGAGAAGCAAGUCAGUGGUGAAAACGAUGGGCUUAACCCAUCGACUGCCAUUGAAACUGUUUCCCUUGAGUGAAGUAGAGGCAGGCGGAAUUCCGAGUGUAGCGGUGAAAUGCGUAGAUAUUCGGAGGAACACCAGUGGCGAAG